CAUUAGAACAGAGCAGCCGGGUGAGGCUUCAAGAUGAUGAUCAAAUAUAAUUUCUUAUGGACACUCAAGCAAUGGCUCUAUUGCUGAGAAGAAAAAGCCACAUUUAUACAAUUAAGACAAUUACAAAUUUGAACCUGCCAAAUAAAAAAAAAAAAAAAAAACCAAAAAAAAAAAAAAAAGGAAGGAAACAAAUGGGUUUUCUCUGCUAAAGCAGAGUCCCUCUAAUCAAGUCCAGAGACAAUUCCAGAAGAAGUAAAUAGAAAUAGCAGAAAGAGAGAGGAGACUCAUCCCUUUCUCCAUUACUUUCGGAAGUAUCUUUCACCGACAAAUAUUCACCUGGUGAACCGAGUCUAAACUAACUUUUUCCCUACUCAAGAGCCAUGGCUCAUCCCUUUACCUGUGCUCACAGCACAAGCCACUCUCUAUAAGCCACUCUCUAUGAGCCAUCUCUUUUACCUAUACAUUUAUAUAAUUAAGAUAAUUACUUUGUGAAUUUCUUGGUUCAUAUAUUUGUUGCAUAACCUGUACCUCACCAACCGUCUGCUUUAAUUAAUACAAAGCCCUCUCCCCCUUUUGCCUCUAAUAUAUCCAAAAAAGGAAAAGUAAAAAAAAUUAAACAUUUCUUAUAUCUAACGCCAUCCUGCUUCACUUCUUGUUUUAGUUUCUGAAUAUGAGCUCCUUGCAAGCUGCUUUCCCAAAUGCCCAGUUGUCUUCAAGCUUCCUUGGUGAUGUAUCCGAACCGUGGUUUCCCAAAAGUGCGGUGGCACCUUAUAUUCCGGCUGCAGGACAAGGUGGCUUAACAUACAUGGCAGCACAAGUACCGAGCUCCCAAAUACCGAACGUCUCAACACAGGAUUCUGUUGCAUCUGUCGGAGGAAGUCCUUUUGCAUAGGAUUUUGGUGGCAAUUAUCAUUGAGAAAGUUGGUAGUACAAGGUUUCUAAGCUUUUGCUUAUGGUUAGUCUCUAUCCUAUAGGCUACAGAACCAAAAUUAUUAUCGUGCU